rnacentral:rRNA from 1 species
UACGUAGGGUACGAGCGUUGUCCGGAAUUACUGGGCGUAAAGAGCUUGUAGGCGGUCUGUCGCGUCUGCUGUGAAAAUCCGGGGCUCAACCCCGGACUUGCAGUGGGUACGGGCAGACUAGAGUGUGGUAGGGGAGACUGGAAUUCCUGGUGUAGCGGUGAAAUGCGCAGAUAUCAGGAGGAACACCGAUGGCGAAGGCAGGUCUCUGGGCCACUACUGACGCUGAGAAGCGAAAGCAUGGGGAGCGAACAGG